rnacentral:siRNA from 1 species
CUGGGCCGAAUUGAUGUUGUU